rnacentral:rRNA from 1 species
UAGGGAAUCUUCGGCAAUGGACGAAAGUCUGACCGAGCAACGCCGCGUGAGUGAAGAAGGUUUUCGGAUCGUAAAACUCUGUUGGUAGAGAAGAACGUUGGUGAGAGUGGAAAGCUCAUCAAGUGACGGUAACUACCCAGAAAGGGACGGCUAACCACGUGCCA